rnacentral:rRNA from 1 species
UAGCGGCAGGCCUAAUACAUGCAAGUCGAACGGUGGCAGCAAUGUCAUAGUGGCGCACGGGUGCGUAACACGUAACUAACCUGCCCAGACCUGGGGGAUAGCCCGCCGAAAGGCGGAUUAAUACCGCAUAAUAUCAGUGAGCGGCAUCGCUUAGUGAUUAAAGAUUUAUCGGGUUUGGAUGGGGUUGCGGGUCAUUAGCUAGUUGGUCAGGUAACGGCUUACCAAGGCGACGAUGACUAGGGGAGCUGAGAGGCUGGUCCCCCACACGGGCACUGAGAUACGGGCCCGACUCCUACGGGAGGCAGCAGUAGGGAAUAUUGGGCAAUGGGCGAGAGCCUGACCCAGCCAUGCCGCGUGCAGGAAGAAGGCUUUCUGAGUCGUAAACUGCUUUUGAUAGGGAAGAAUAAGGAGUAUGUAUACUCUGGUGACGGUACCUACAGAAUAAGCACCGGCUAACUCCGUGCCAGCAGCCGCGGUAAUACGGAGGGUGCGAGCGUUGUCCGGAUUUAUUGGGUUUAAAGGGUGCGUAGGCGGCUCUUUAAGUCCGGGGUGAAAGCCCGUUGCUCAACAACGGAACUGCCCUGGA